GCCGGUGAUGACUAUGAAUUUUAACAGAAGCACAAAAUUUUGUGUAUCAAUGUUGAAACGAAUUAUCAUGAACUAGGACGGUCUGAGGC